ensembl:misc_RNA Metazoa_SRP Metazoan signal recognition particle RNA
GCCAGGCGUGGUGGUGCACGCCUGUAAUCCCAGCUACUUGGGAGGCUGAGGCAGGAGAAUCGCUUGAACCCAGGAGGCAGAGGUUGCAGUGAGCCGAGAUCACACCACUGCACUCCAGCCUGGGUGAGAAAGCGAGACUCCUUCUCAA